UACGAAGGGGGCUAGCGUUGCUCGGAAUUACUGGGCGUAAAGGGCGCAUAGGCGGACAGUUUAGUCAGAGGUGAAAGCCCAGGGCUCAACCUUGGAAUUGCCUUUGAUACUGGCUGUCUUGAGUUCGGGAGAGGUGAGUGGAAUGCCGAGUGUAGAGGUGAAAUUCGUAGAUAUUCGGCGGAACACCAGUGGCGAAGGCGACUCACUGGCCCGAUACUGACGCUGAGGCGCGAAAGCGUGGGGAGCAAACAGG
rnacentral:rRNA from 1 species